AUGUCGUACAACCCUACGGAUGUGGUGUGCUGGAAUGUGAGGGGUUUGAAUAGCCCGGUUAAAAAGAAGGCCUUGAGAGAGUUUGUAGAUUCCUUGCGUGUGGCGAUCGUUUGUAUUGUGGAAUCUAAACUGGAUCAUGUUGACCAGUAUAUCAUCUUGCAAUGUUUAGGACCAUCUUACGAUGGAUUUGCGUACCUCCCGUCAUCCGAGACUAGAGGCGGGAUCUUAGUG
rnacentral:rRNA from 1 species